UCACUUACCUGGAUGGGGUCAAUGUGCGAUCAAGAAGGUCCGUGGCCUAGGUUGGUGACCUCCAUUGCACUCAGGAGGGGUGCCUGCCUAAGGUCGGCCCAAGUGGUCGAGCCUGCAUCAUAAUUUGUGGCAGUGGGGGCUUGCGUUCGCGCAGCCCUUG
rnacentral:snRNA from 1 species